rnacentral:rRNA from 1 species
ACGCUCGACACCUACGGGAGGCAGCAGUGGGGAAUAUUGCACAAUGGGGGAAACCCUGAUGCAGCGACGCCGCGUGAAGGAAGAAGUAUCUCGGUAUGUAAACUUCUAUCAGCAGGGAAGAAAGUGACGGUACCUGACUAAGAAGCCCCGGCUAACUACGUGCCAACAGCCGCGGUAAUCUGAGGCGGGCUGGCGAAGGC